UACGUAGGGGGCAAGCGUUGUCCGGAAUUAUUGGGCGUAAAGAGCUCGUAGGCGGUGUGUCGCGUCGGCCGUGAAAACCUGCAGCUUAACUGUGGGCUUGCGGUCGAUACGGGCAUCACUGGAGUUCGGCAGGGGAGACUGGAAUUCCUGGUGUAGCGGUGAAAUGCGCAGAUAUCAGGAGGAACACCGGUGGCGAAGGCGGGUCUCUGGGCCGAUACUGACACUGAGGAGCGAAAGCCAGGGGAGCAAACGGG
rnacentral:rRNA from 1 species